rnacentral:misc_RNA from 1 species
UUUCCGUAGGUGAACCUGCGGAAGGAUCAUUACUGUGUAAUGCGCUGAGGUAUCCCCUCAGCUUGCACAUCCCCUGUGUACCAUCUGGUUGCUUCGGCGGGUCACGAACUUCGUCGUCGCCUUUGGGCGGCGUGUACCCGCCGAUAGACUUUGAAACUCUGGUUUUCGAGAUGAUGUCCGAGCCAAAAUUGAAUCAACAAAACUUUCAACGAUGGAUCUCUUGGUUCCAGGAUCGAUGAAGAACGCAGC